rnacentral:rRNA from 1 species
GGCUACGACCAUAAUACGUUGAAAACACCAACUCUCGUCUGAUCACCAAAGUGAAGCAACGUCGGGCCCGGAUAGUACUUGCGUCAGUGACCGGCUGCGAAAAGCAGGUGUUGCCGCCG